GUCAGCCUUGAAAGUGUUUCUCGGAGCAGCAGGAAGUCAACCGUUUUUUACACGACGCGAGACGGAAACCCGGGGUUGGCUAACUGCAACUUUUAAACACAACAUACUGGAAUUGGAAUGUGAAAGUUUCCCGCGUGAAGCCGUGGAGCUCGAGAUCCUGUUUACUGUGGACUAGCUGUGUGUGACGCCAUGUUGUUUUUGUUUCCAUUACAAAAAAAAAGCUCCACCGUCUCGCCGAGUGCCAGCAAGAGUCAUGAGUACUUGUCAACUCUACUCCUCAACUGGAGAUAACUUUCUAGCACCUCACCAUGGGGAAGGAUGUAUUCAUACGCCUUCACCAGCACAUGCAUUAAACAUGCAGAGAGUUACACAAGUUCUUACCACCUUGGGGCACCAUUCAGGGUGCCUUUUCAUCUGAUUAAAUUUAUAAUGAACAGGGACAUUGCGGUUGUCCCAAGUGGAUGGUAUGAUGAUAGGAUGGUUUUCUGGCCCAGCUAUAAAAACACCGACAGAAUUGAAAGGGCCGCUUUAAAUGAGGAGCAGCAUGAGCCAAACUGGCCAAGAUUUGACGUUUCUGUUGUCCGAACUUGUGGUAUGCAAAUUCAUAAUCUUCUUGUUUAAAAAUAACGUCAUAGUUGCUUCUCUUUAUGCUUGGAAUAACCUAUUGUGUCUAUUUUCUGACCAGGUCUCUUGUAAGAGAGAGACCUGAUUUAUCAUCAUCAAUAAUAAUAAUAUUCUGUUCAGCUCUACAGCUAAUUUGAAACUCAUGUUCAUUUUAACAUAUUCAAUUUUAGAGAACUACAAAGACGCAUUAAAAAUAAUGCAACAAUAUGGAAAGGGCUGCAACACCUCAGACCUGCAAUCUGAGGCAGAGAACGAGGAGCUGCCAGAAAAAAGGAACAGGAAGCCAGUGUAAGUGUGUUCCGUCUUGUUUUUGUCAUGUUUCUACAGUAAUAGGAAGGUUAUUUCCGGUAGCAUUCAAAAAUAGACCAGAGAUGCUUGUACUAUAUGUAUAUUUUGCAAUUUUGGUAUUGCAAUAAUCCUAAUGAUAUGGUUAGCGAAGAAGACCCGGGAAAUAGUGACCUCACAUCUCUGGGUUUGGCAAGCCAAUUGCACAGGCAGACUCCACCGUCUCGCCGAGUGCCAGCAAGAGUCAUGAGUACUUGUCAACUCUACUCCUCAACUGGAGAUAACUUUCUAGCACCUCACCAUGGGGAAGGACGCAUUCAUAUGCCUUCACCAGCACCUGCAUUAAACAUGCAGAGAGUUACACAAGGAACGGCAGUCCCUCCUCGACUCCCUCCACCCCCCUCACCAGCAGCCCUCAACAUGUGGCAGACAGAGGAGCCUGGAUCCAGCCUGGCCUACAGGCCAACAUGGGGAACGAAUGGCCGACAACAAUUCCUGCUCUGCGCCUGAGGUAAUCCACAUCCUUAGCCUGCUGGAAACUAUUAAGCACAACCAAGACCAGCUGAUUGCGAAGGUGCUGUGAGUAAAAAUGUGUUGACAAGGUCAGCCACGGACGCUGAGGUCACCAAACACGCCAUCAGGUGGUUCAACUUGGCGGGGGAUCGGGCAACGAGGAGACGAGUCCCGCUUCCACCUCCUCAGGAGGAAUAGAGAUGUAUAUGUAUAAAUA